CCCACUAUCAAGUCUUAACCCCCGCCCCCAUUGUCUGCUUAAGCUUUUCUUUCGGUGAUCCUUAACCCUCCCUAUAAAAAUCUCUAUAUCCCACUCACUCGAGUUAACCAACCAGUUUCCUCUCUUUCAUGCUCUGCUAUUCAAAGAAACGGAGCAUGGCAAUGGCUUCCUUCGCAUUCUCUUUCUCUUGCUUCCUUGUGCUACUUUCUUUCUUUGUCUUUGCAGAUGCAGCAGGUACAAUAGGCAUAAACUACGGCCGAGUCGCCAAUGACUUGCCAACACCGGACAAAGUUGUGGAACUUCUGAAAUCACAGGGAAUCAAACGUGUCAAGCUCUACGACACUGACUCAGCCGUUUUGACAGCACUUGCCAAUUCAGACAUUAGCGUCGUCGUAGCGCUGCCUAACGAGCUCCUCGCCUCCACUGCAGCCGACCAGUCUUUUGCUGAUAACUGGGUCCAAUCCAACAUCUCUCACUAUUACCCCAAGACACAAAUUGAAGCCAUUGCCGUAGGUAAUGAAGUUUUUGUUGACCCCAAAAACACCACCAAGUUCCUUGUACCCGCCAUGAAAAACGUUUACAAUUCUCUUGUCAAGCUUAACCUUUCUUCCAUUAAAAUCUCGUCUCCUAUAGCUCUCAGUGCUCUGCAGAACUCUUACCCAUCAUCAGCCGGAUCCUUCAAACCCGACUUAAUUGAACCCGUGAUGAAACCCAUGAUGGAAUUUCUGCGUCAAUCCGGGUCAUAUCUCAUGGUCAAUGCAUACCCAUUUUUUGCAUACACUGCCAACUCUAAGGAUAUCUCUUUGGACUACGCCUUGUUCAAAGAAAACCAGGGAACGGUGGAUUCCGGUAACGGUUUAAAGUACUACAGCCUUUUGGAGGCCCAACUCGACGCCGUUUUCGCUGCCAUGUCAGCUAUCCAGUACAACGACAUAAAAAUGGGGGGCCCAUUUCCGGUCAAGACUCUCUUCACUA
rnacentral:misc_RNA from 1 species